UACGUAGGCAGCAAGCGUUGUUCGGAGUUACUGGGCGUAAAGGGUUCGUAGGUGGCCACUUAAGUCAGACGUGAAAUCCCUCAGCUUAACUGGGGAACUGCGUCUGAUACUGAGUGGCUUGAGUGCAGGAGAGGAAUGCGGAAUUCCAGGUGUAGCGGUGAAAUGCGUAGAUAUCUGGAGGAACACCGGUGGCGAAGGCGGCAUUCUGGACCGGCAUUGACGCUGAGGCGCGAAAGCCAGGGGAGCAAACGGG
rnacentral:rRNA from 1 species